rnacentral:tRNA from 1 species
GAGGUUGUGGCUCAGCGAUAGAGUGCUCGCCUAGCGUGCGUGAGGCCUUGGGUUCAAUCCUCAACAUCA